rnacentral:rRNA from 1 species
GUCGAACGGAAGAAUGCAGAGAUGAGAUUUCGGUCAAAUCAAGUGUAUCUUCAUUGACGGACGGGUGAGUAACGCGUGGGUAACCUGCCAUAUACAGGGGGAUAACACUUAGAAAUAGGUGCUAAUACCGCAUAAUGCAAUGGAGUCGCAUGGCUCUGUUGCCAAAGAUUUAUCGCUCUGAGAUGGCCUCGCGUCUGAUUAGAUAGUUGGCGGGGUAACGGCCCACCAAGUCGACGAUCAGUAGCCGGACUGAGAGGUUGGCCGGCCACAUUGGGACUGAGACACGGCCCAGACUCCUACGGGAGGCAGCAGUGGGGAAUAUUGGGCAAUGGGCGCAAGCCUGACCCAGCAACGCCGCGUGAAGGAAGAAGGCCCUCGGGUUGUAAACUUCUUUUAACAGGGACGAAGAAAGUGACGGUACCUGUUGAAUAAGCCACGGCUAACUACGUGCCAGCAGCCGCGGUAAUACGUAGGUGGCAAGCGUUAUCCGGAUUUACUGGGUGUAAAGGGCGUGUAGGCGGGAGAGCAAGUCAGACGUGAAAUUCCAGGGCUCAACCCUGGAACUGCGUUUGAAACUGUUCUUCUUGAGUGAUGGAGAGGCAGGCGGAAUUCCGUGUGUAGCGGUGAAAUGCGUAGAUAUACGGAGGAACACCAGUGGCGAAGGCAGCCUGCCAAGCCAUGACUGACGCUGAUGCACGAAAGCGUGGGGAUCAAACAGGAUUAGAUACCCUGGUAGUCCACGC